rnacentral:tRNA from 1 species
ACCUGGCUGGCUCAGUGAGUAGAGCAUGUGACUCUUGAUCUUGGGGUCAUGGGUACGAGCCCCAUGUUGAGCA